UCAAUAACCCACCGCCUAUAGAGGCGGGGGUUUGCCGGAAGGCAGACUCUGAUUGAUUACCCUUGGCGGCCCUGGUAAGUCUACGGAUACUACCGGGAGCCCGCUCCGUUACCCAGGAAUAGAUAGGCACCGGCGGAUGUGAUGCCCAAGUCUGCCGCACUGC
rnacentral:sRNA from 1 species